rnacentral:RNase_P_RNA from 1 species
GUAAGACAGACAGUCGCGCGGCAUGGCCGAAAGGCCCGCUGUGAGGAAAGUCCGGGCUCCACAGGGCAAGGAUAACGGGUAACGCCCGCCCAGAGCGAUCUGAGGAAAAGUGCAACAGAAAUAGACUACCUGCGCGCUCUGCCUUUUCGAAUUUGCAGCAAAGGAGCAGGCAGCUCCGCCGCUUGCGCCCGCCCUUCUCGAUGGGAUGACGCUUCUGGUGCAGAUUGGAAAAGGCAAAGCGCUGCGGGAAAAGGUGGAAAGGUGCGGUAAGAGCGCACCCGUCGGCUCGAAAGUGUCCGAUGCUGUAAACUCUAUCCGGAGCAACACCGGUAUGGGAGCAAUGGCUUGCCCGGCCGCUCCCGGGGUGGCUGGAGCGCCGCGGCAACGCGGCGCGUAGAUAGAUGACUGUCAAAUACAGAACCCGGCUUACAGUUUUGCUCG